ensembl:lncRNA
GCAGCGAAGCACUAUGCCUACCUUUCGGGGUCUGUUAGCUGGCAGUAAAAGAGUUGCAGGAGAAGCAGAGUUAAGUUACCCAGCCGUCGACAGGACACUUUGAAGACUGAAGACCAACUGUAUCAUGCCCUGACCUUCAACGACCCUCUCUGGCCCAUGCAGUGGGAACUGGGGGAGUGACUGGAGUCAGCGCUUUUCCUCCCCCUUCUUCCUCGCCCCCAGCCCCCCCACUGUUCAAUCCAUCCAGCCGCUGUCACGGCGGGGGAGAAGACAAUCUAUCAAGGCAUCGGGAGGCAUUCUCCUCACCUGCACCGCGCCUUUAAUGAACAGCCAAC